rnacentral:rRNA from 1 species
CACAUGCAAGUCGAACGGUAACGGGCCUUCGGGUGCCGACGAGUGGCGAACGGGUGAGUAAUGCAUCGGAACGUACCUUUCAGUGGGGGAUAACGUAGCGAAAGUUACGCUAAUACCGCAUAUUCUGUGAGCAGGAAAGCAGGGGAUCGCAAGACCUUGCGCUGAUUGAGCGGCCGAUGUCAGAUUAGCUAGUUGGUGAGGUAAAGGCUCACCAAGGCGACGAUCUGUAGCGGGUCUGAGAGGAUGAUCCGCCACACUGGAACUGAGACACGGUCCAGACUCCUACGGGAGGCAGCAGUGGGGAAUUUUGGACAAUGGGGGCAACCCUGAUCCAGCCAUGCCGCGUGAGUGAAGAAGGCCUUCGGGUUGUAAAGCUCUUUCGGCCGGGAAGAAAUCGCAUGGGUUAAUACCCUGUGCGGAUGACGGUACCGGCAUAAGAAGCACCGGCUAACUACGUGCCAGCAGCCGCGGUAAUACGUAGGGUGCGAGCGUUAAUCGGAAUUACUGGGCGUAAAGCGUGCGCAGGCGGUUUUGUAAGACAGGCGUGAAAUCCCCGGGCUCAACCUGGGAACUGCGCUUGUGACUGCAAGGCUAGAGUACGGCAGAGGGGGGUGGAAUUCCACGUGUAGCAGUGAAAUGCGUAGAGAUGUGGAGGAACACCAAUGGCGAAGGCAGCCCCCUGGGUCGAUACUGACGCUCAUGCACGAAAGCGUGGGUAGCAAACAGGAUUAGAUACCCUGGUAGUCCACGCCCUAAACGAUGUCAACUAGUGUUGGGUGGGUAAGACCAUUUAGUACCGUAGCUAACGCGUGAAGUUGACCGCCUGGGGAGUACGGCGCAGGUUAAAACUCAAAGGAAUUGACGGGACCCGCACAAGCGGUGGAUGAUGUGAUUAAUUCGAUGCACGCGAAAACCUUACCUAC